AGAGUUUGAUUCUGGCUCAGGAUGAACGCUGGCGGCGUGCCUAAUACAUGCAAGUCGAACGCAUCUCUUCGGAGAUGAGUGGCGAACGGGUGAGUAAUACAUAGGUAACCUGCCCCUGUGCGGGGGAUAACAGGAGGAAACUCCUGCUAAUACCGCAUAGCCAUGAGCACCGCAUGGAGCUCAUGCCAAAUAUCCUUUCGGGGAUAGCGCAGGGAUGGACCUAUGGCGCAUUAGCUAGUUGGCGGGGCAACGGCCCACCAAGGCAACGAUGCGUAGCCGGCCUGAGAGGGCGGACGGCCACAUUGGGACUGAGACACGGCCCAGACUCCUACGGGAGGCAGCAGUAGGGAAUUUUCGGCAAUGGGGGAAACCCUGACCGAGCAACGCCGCGUGAGCGAAGAAGGCCUUCGGGUCGUAAAGCUCUGUUGUAAAGGAAGAACGUCGUACACAGGAAAUGGUGUGCGAGUGACGGUACUUUACCAGAAAGCCACGGCUAACUACGUGCCAGCAGCCGCGGUAAUACGUAGGUGGCGAGCGUUAUCCGGAAUCAUUGGGCGUAAAGAGGGAGCAGGCGGCCGCAAGGGUCUGUGGUGAAAGACCGAAGCUAAACUUCGGUAAGCCAUGGAAACCGGGCGGCUAGAGUGCGGAAGAGGAUCGUGGAAUUCCAUGUGUAGCGGUGAAAUGCGUAGAUAUAUGGAGGAACACCAGUGGCGAAGGCGACGGUCUGGGCCGCAACUGACGCUCAUUCCCGAAAGCGUGGGGAGCAAAUAGGAUUAGAUACCCUAGUAGUCCACGCCGUAAA
rnacentral:rRNA from 1 species